rnacentral:rRNA from 1 species
CAAUAGCGUAUAUUAAAGUUGUUGCAGUUAAAAAGCUCGUAGUUGGAUUUCUGGUAGGAGUGACCGUUCCGAACUUGAUUGUUCGUGUAUUGUGUUUUCUCCAGCCAUCCUUGUGGAGAACUUUUCUUGCAUUAAUUUGUAGGGAUUGGGACCCGCAUCGUUUACUGUGUAAAAAUUAGAGUGUUUAAAGCAGGCAAUCGCUUGAAUACAUUAGCAUGGAAUAAUAAGAAAGGACUUUGGUACUAUUUUGUUGGUUUGCAUACCAAAUUAAUGAUCAACAGGAACAGUUUGAGGAUAUUCGUAUGAACAUGUCAGAGGUGAAAUUCUUGGAUUUUGAUCAGACGAACUACUGCGAAAGCAUUUAUCAAGGAUGUUUUCAUUAA